rnacentral:tRNA from 1 species
GCCGGGGUGGCUCAGUGGUAGAGCACCCCCUUGGUAAGGGGGUGGUCGUGGGUUCAAUUCCCAUCCCCGGCU